GACGAACGCUGGCGGCGUGCCUAAUACAUGCAAGUUGAGCGCUGAAGGUUGGUACUUGUACCAACUGGAUGAGCAGCGAACGGGUGAGUAACGCGUGGGGAAUCUGCCUUUGAGCGGGGGACAACAUUUGGAAACGAAUGCUAAUACCGCAUAAAAACUUUAAACACAAGUUUUAAGAUUGAAAGAUGCAAUUGCAUCAAUCAAAGAUGAUCCCGCGUUGUAUUAGCUAGUUGGUAAGGUAAAGGCUCACCAAGGCAAGGAUGCAUAGCCGACCUGGGAGGGGGACGGCCCAAAUUGGAACUGGACCAGGGCCAAGCCCCCUCCGGGGGCAACAGUAGGGGAACUUCGGGAAAAGGCGGAAGUCUGGCCGAACAACGCCGCGGUAGGGAAGAAGGUUCUCGGGUCGUAAAACUCUGGUGGUAGGGGAGAACGAUGUGGGGAGUGGAAAGCGCAUCAAGUGACGGUAACUACUCAGAAAGGGACGGCUAACUACGUG
rnacentral:rRNA from 1 species